GAUGAACGCUGGCGGCGUGCUUAACACAUGCAAGUCGAACGGUGAAGGCGGAGCUUGCUCUGCUGGAUCAGUGGCGAACGGGUGAGUAACACGUGAGCAAUCUGCCCCUGACUCUGGGAUAAGCGCUGGAAACGGCGUCUAAUACUGGAUACGAGCUGCGAAGGCAUCUUCAGCAGCUGGAAAGAACUUCGGUCAGGGAUGAGCUCGCGGCCUAUCAGCUUGUUGGUGAGGUAACGGCUCACCAAGGCGUCGACGGGUAGCCGGCCUGAGAGGGUGACCGGCCACACUGGGACUGAGACACGGCCCAGACUCCUACGGGAGGCAGCAGUGGGGAAUAUUGCACAAUGGGCGAAAGCCUGAUGCAGCAACGCCGCGUGAAGGACGACGGCCUUCGGGUUGUAAACCUCUUUUAGCAGGGAAGAAGCGAAAGUGACGGUACCUGCAGAAAAAGCGCCGGCUAACUACGUG
rnacentral:rRNA from 1 species